rnacentral:rRNA from 3 species
AAGCUCGUAGUUGAAUUUCGGGAUCGACGGGUCGGUCGCGCCUCUGGUGUGUACUGGCCCUGUCGGUUUCUCCCUUCUGACGAACCACGAUGUCAUUAAUUUGGUGUCGUGGGAAAUCAGGACUGUUACUUUGAAAAAAUUAGAGUGUUUAAAGCAGGCAUUCGCUUGAAUACAUUAGCAUGGAAUAAUGAAAUAGGACGUUUGAUCUUAUUUUGUUGGUUUCUAAGAUCGACGUAAUGAUUAAUAGGGAUAGUUGGG